rnacentral:misc_RNA from 1 species
CAACCCCUUAAGCCCCCGUCGCUUAGUGUUGGGAGCCUACGGCGUCCUGCCGUCGCUCCUCAAAUCCAGUGGCGGAGCCGGCCUCGUGCUCUAGGCGUAGUAGAUUAUCCCUUCUCGCCUGCAGCCGGGGCCGGCCUCCCUGCCGUAAAACAAACCACUUAGUACCAAAAGG